GGUCAAGUUAUUAAGGGUGCAGGGCGGAUGCCUUGGCACUAGGAGCCGAUGAAGGACGUGAUAAGCUGCGAUAAGCUUCGGGGAGUUGCACGUAAACUUUGAUCCGAAGAUUUCCGAAUGAGGAAACUCACUUAGAGUAAUGUCUAAGUAUCAUUAAGUGAAUACAUAGCUUAAUGAGGGGAACUCAGGGAACUGAAACAUCUAAGUACCUGAAGGAAGAGAAAGAAAUUCGAUUCCGUAAGUAGCGGCGAGCGAACGCGGAUUAGCCCAAACCAAUAAAGUUUUCUUUAUUGGGGUUGCGGACAUAUCAUAACGAAGAGGUAUCGUAAUUGAAGAGGUUUGGAAAGACCCACCACAGAAGGUAAUAGUCCUGUAUGUUAAACGAGAAGACUUUAGAUAUGAUCCAGAGUACCACGGGACACGUGAAACCCUGUGGGAAGCAGGAGGGACCACCCUCCAAGGCUAAAUACUACCUAGUGACCGAUAGCGUAUAGUACCGUGAGGGAAAGGUGAAAAGAACCCCGGGAGGGGAGUGAAAUAGAACCUGAAACCCUGCACUUACAAGCUGUGGAAGCACAUUUCUUGUGUGACCGCGUACUUUUUGUAGAACGGGCCAACGAGUUACGUUAAGUAGCAAGGUUAAGCACUUAAGGUGCGGAGCCGUAGCGAAAGCGAGUUUUAACUGAGCGUUCAGUUACUUGACGUAGACCCGAAACCGGGCGACCUACCCAUGAGCAGGAUGAAGCGAAAGUAAAAUUUCGUGGAGGUCCGAACCCACGAGCGUUGAAAAGCUCGGGGAUGACUUGUGGGUAGCGGUGAAAUUCCAAUCGAGCCCGGAGAUAGCUGGUUCUCCCCGAAAUAGCUUUAGGGCUAGCCUCAAGGUGAGAGAUACGGAGGUAGAGCACUGAAUGUCCUAGGGGGUAUUGCACCUACCGAAGACUAUCAAACUCCGAAUGCCGUCAUCUUAUACUUGGGAGUCAGACUGUGGGUGAUAAGAUUCAUAGUCGAAAGGGCAACAGCCCAGAUCGUCAGCUAAGGUCCCUAAAUGUAAGUUAAGUGGUAAAGGAUGUGGGAUUGCACAGACAACCAGGAUGUUGGCUUAGAAGCAGCCACUCAUUCAAAGAGUGCGUAAUAGCUCACUGGUCGAGUGAUCCUGCGCCGAAGAUUUCCGGGGCUAAAACUUACUACCGAAGCUACGGCAUCAGUAAUGAUGGGUAGGGGAGCUUCCCAUACGGGUUGAAGCAUGACCGUAAGGACAUGUGGACAGUAUGGGAGUGAGAAUGUUGGCAUGAGUAGCGAGAUGUGGGUGAGAAUCCCACAGGCCGUAAACCCAAGGUUUCCAGGGGAAGGUUCGUCCGCCCUGGGUUAGUCGGGACCUAAGCUGAGGCCGAAAGGCGUAGGUGAUGGACAACAGGUUGAUAUUCCUGUACUACCGAUAACCGUUUGAGAGAAGGGAUGACACAGUAGGAUAAGCUAAGCACACUGUUGGUUAUGUGUGCCCAAGCAUUGAGGCAGUCAAAGUAGGCAAAUCCGCUUUGAUAAUGCUGGGAUGUGAUGGGGAGCGAAAUUUAGUAGCGAAGUAGCUGAUUUCACACUGUCAAGAAAAGUCUCUAUCGAGGUUAAAGGUACCCGUACCGCAAACCGACACAGGUGGGUGAGGAGAGUAUCCUAAGGCCAGCGAGAGAACUGUUGUUAAGGAACUCGGCAAAAUGACCCCGUAACUUAGGGAUAAGGGGUGCCACCAUCAGGUGGCCGCAGAGAAUAGGCCCAAGCGACUGUUUACCAAAAACAUAGGUUUCUGCUAAGUCGCAAGACGAUGUAUAGGAGCUGACGCCUGCCCGGUGCUGGAA
rnacentral:rRNA from 1 species